rnacentral:other from 1 species
CACUUUCUGCGGCGUUUGUUAUACGCCGACAAACCUCUUGAGCUAUAAGUAUAAAUCCGGGAGGCUUCGCGAGAGUUGUUGUGCAUGUCCGCUAGCCGGAAAGCCUGAUACGCUCGCUUGGCCACCCACUUGAACCCUUGGUUCAAGAAUGUGGCUAGUGACGGCGGCUGUGGAAAGUGC